rnacentral:misc_RNA from 1 species
GAUGAAGAACGUAGCGAAAUGCGAUAACUAAUGUGAAUUGCAGAAUUCAGUGAAUCAUCGAGUCUUUGAACGCACAUUGCGCCCGCCAGUAUUCUGGCGGGCAUGCCUGUCCGAGCGUCAUUUCAACCCUCGAACCCCUCCGGGGGGUCGGCGUUGGGGAUCGGCCCUUUCACCGGGUGCCGGCCCCUAAAUACAGUGGCGGUCUCGCCGCAGCCUCUCAUGCGCAGUAGUUUGCACACUCGCACCGGGAGCGCGGCGCGUCCUCGUCCGUAAAACACCCCAAACUUCUGAAAUGUUGACCUCGGAUCAGGUAGGAAUACCCGCUGAACUUAAGCAUAUCAAUAAGCGGAGGA